UCCGCGGCCGCCAGGUGAGCCCGCCCCGGUAGCCCCGCGCGUGGUCCGGUCGGCAGAGGCUUGGCGAGCCGCCAUCCCGCCCCUGCCCCAGGCCCACCUUCCCCCACCGCCCAGGCCCCGCUGGCCUCCCCGGCUCAUCUCGCACCCGGCGCAGACCCCAUGCCCUCCCGUCUCGGCAGCGCCCCCCGCUUCGCCUCCCGGUCCGGCCCCAGCUCGACGGGCGGAACCGGGUGCGCACAGCAGCCCCGCGCCCUGGCCCAGGGCCAGCGGGUUAACGCUUAACUACGCUCCAGGAGCUGUAGGCUCCAGCCGCGCCUCGAGUCCCCAACCUUUGGCCCCGGAAGCCAAAAAGAGGAGCGGACGGUGAAGGAGUCAGGGAUAAUGUGAGUUGAUGCUGGCUGAGAUCUGCUCCGAUGAGGGUUUGAAAGAGAGAGCUCCGGGUGUCAAAGUCAGUGGAUGGCAAAACAUGCCUGGAGGGAGCAACCAGGCAUCCAACCACAGGCCCUGGGCUGGAGGGCGGGGGGGGGGGGGGGUGGAAGCAGAGGAAGGAGAGAGAAGGAAAUUUGGGAGGAAGAGUGGGCACGAACUGGCUGCCCAAUUGUGUGGGUGGGUAGGUGGCAGGGAGGGACUGGUUGUUCUGGGUCUGCCCCUCCGGCCCCACCACACCUGCUUCCAGGUGAGCUUAGGAAUUUCCCAGGCUUCCUCCCAGCUGGAGCCAGACGUGUCCCUCAGAGGCCCCAGCCCUGCCCAUCCUUUCCUGCCCUACCCAGGGCUUCUCUACCUUCUUGGCUUGGCCUGCUCCUUGUUCACACCUUGGUAAAUGACCCUUCACAAAA